rnacentral:rRNA from 1 species
AUUGAACGCUGGCGGCAUGCCUUACACAUGCAAGUCGAACGGCAGCGGACCUUCGGGUGCCGGCGAGUGGCGAACGGGUGAGUAAUAUAUCGGAACGUACCUUUCAGUGGGGGAUAACGUAGCGAAAGUUACGCUAAUACCGCAUAUUCUGUGAAGCAGGAAAGCAGGGGAUCGCAAGACCUUGCGCUGAUUGAGCGGCCGAUAUCAGAUUAGCUAGUUGGUGAGGUAAAGGCUCACCAAGGCGACGAUCUGUAGCGGGUCUGAGAGGAUGAUCCGCCACACUGGAACUGAGACACGGUCCAGACUCCUACGGGA